rnacentral:rRNA from 1 species
AACGAACGCUGGCGGCAUGCCUAACACAUGCAAGUCGAACGGGAUCCGGACUUCGGUUCGGUGAGAGUGGCGGACGGGUGAGUAACGCGUGGGAAUCUGCCCAGUGGUGGGGGAUAACUGCGGGAAACUGCAGCUAAUACCGCAUGAGCCCGAGAGGGGAAAGAUUUAUCGCCAUUGGAGGGGCCCGCGUUCGAUUAGGUAGUUGGUGAGGUAACGGCUCACCAAGCCGACGAUCGAUAGCUGGUCUGAGAGGAUGAUCAGCCACACUGGGACUGAGAUACGGCCCAGACUCCUACGGGAGGCAGCAGUGGGGAAUAUUGGACAAUGGGGGCAACCCUGAUCCAGCAAUGCCGCGUGAGUGAUGAAGGCCUUCGGGUUGUAAAGCUCUUUUGCCAGGGACGAUGAUGACGGUACCUGGAGAAUAAGCCCCGGCUAACUUCGUGCCAGCAGCCGCAGUAACAC